GGAGAAGUACUCAAGUGGUGAAGAGGACGGUUUGCUAAACCGUUAGUGGGGGUAACUCCAGCGAGGGUUCAAAUCCCUCCUUCUCCGCCA
rnacentral:tRNA from 1 species